rnacentral:rRNA from 1 species
AAUCAACGCUGGCGGCGUGCCUAACACAUGCAAGUCGCACGAGAAAGGGGAGCAAUCCCUGAGUAAAGUGGCGCACGGGUGAGUAACACGUGAAUCAUCUACCUCCGAGUGGGGAAUAACUGAGAGAAAUCUUAGCUAAUACCGCAUAACACUUACGAGUCAAAGCAGCAAUGCGCUUGGAGAGGAGUUCGCGGCCGAUUAGUUAGUUGGCGGGGUAANGGCCCACCAAGACGAUGAUCGGUAUCCGGCCUGAGAGGGCGCACGGACACACUGGAACUGAAACACGGUCCAGACUCCUACGGGAGGCAGCAGUGGGGAAUUUUGCGCAAUGGGGGAAACCCUGACGCAGCAACGCCGCGUGGAGGAUGAAGUAUCUUGGUACGUAAACUCCUUUCGAUUGGGAAGAUAAUGACGGUACCAAUAGAAGAAGCCCCGGCUAACUUCGUGCCAGCCGCCGCGGUAAG